rnacentral:tmRNA from 1 species
GGGGUAGUAAAGGUUUCGACAGGGGUAAUGCAGCUGGAGAAGCUAUCCGUUCGGGUACGUAAAACCCAAACCUAAAUAUAAACGCUAACAAAAGAGUAGCUUUAGCAGCUUAAUUGCUGCUUGUCCGCCCGGAUUCACCUGCAGAUCCGGAUACGGGCAUCAUCUUUUGCAGGAAACGGCAUAUGGUAAGCUUUGCCCAUGUGUACGUAUCAUGAAGCUACCGAAACGGAAAGGUUGUUGCUCAUCGUUCUGAUUUCGGGAAUCUUAAAGGAACAACUACGAUAGUAGAAGGACAGGGAAUUUAUCUUUGGACACGGGUUCGACUCCCGUCUACUCCACU